AUUGAACGCUGGCGGCAGGCUUAACACAUGCAAGUCGAACGAGUGGCGGACGGGUGAGUAAUGCUUGGGAAUCUUGCUUAUGGAGGGGGAUAACUAAGGGAAACGGUAGCUAAUACCGCGUACCAUAGGAUGAGCCCAAGGGGGAUUAGGUAGUUGGUGAGGUAACGGCGCACCAAGCCGACGAUCUCUAGCUGGUCUGCGAGGAUGACCGGCCACACUGGGACUGAGACACGGCCCAGACUCCUACGGGAGGCAGCAGUGGGGAAUAUUGCGCAUGGGGGGCAGCCUGACGCAGCCAGGCCGCGUGAAUGAAUAAGGCCUUCGGGUUGUAAAGUUCUUUCGGUAGCGAGGCGUUAACUAAAGAAGAAGCAACGGCUAAAUCCGUGCCAGCAGCCGCGGUAAUUC
rnacentral:rRNA from 1 species